rnacentral:rRNA from 1 species
GCGUUAUUCGGAAUUAUUGGGCGUAAAGGGCGCGUAGGCGGCUUGGCAAGUGGAAGGUGAAAUCCCUCGGCUUAACCGAGGAACUGCCUCCCAGACUGCUUUGCUUGAGGCCGGGAGAGGUGAGUGGAAUUCCCAGUGUAGCGGUGAAAUGCGUAGAUAUUGGGAGGAACACCAGUGGCGAAGGCGGCUCACUGGACCGGUUCUGACGCUGAGGCGCGAAAGCGUG